UCUUCAUAUGCAACACUGAAACUAUAUUUUGACUAAAUUUAAUUAAUUUAUUUGUUCAUUUGUUCCUGUAAGAAUAUGUCUACACAGAUUUAUGUAUGAAAAUGUUUGAAGAAAUGCUGUAUUGUAAAAAGACUGCUGUAAUUAAUGUAAAAUACGUGUCCCAUACUGCAUGCAAAUCUCCCCAACCUCAGACAGAUAUAAAUACACUGCAAGUACACAGCAGUCUCUGUGUUUGGUCGAGUACAGCAGAGGAAUCAUGAGCUGGCCUCUUCUUCUUCUGAUAUCCUCUGUGCCCUAUGUGCAUGGCAUCAGUCUGACCUCGUCUCCUGCUGAGGUUAAACCUCCCGGAGCCUCAGUGAAGUUGUCCUGUCAGAUUUCUGGCUAUGCCCUUACUAGCUACGGCACAAGCUGGAUCAGACAGCCUCCAGGAAAAGGCUUGGAGUGGAUCGGGAUCAUAUGGGGUGAUGGAAACAUAAACUCUGGAGCUUCCUUUAAAACUCGCUUCAGCAUCUCCAGAGACACGAGCAACAAUGUGCUUUACUUAGAUAUCAGCAGCCUGCUGCCAGAAGACACGGCUGUUUAUUAUUGUGCAAAGACACACAGCUGUACAUCUCAGUGAGAGGACUGUACAAAAAUUAAACCUCACAUAUGUGUGAAGUUUAUUUUGAGUUAAAACCUAAAAGGUACCAUUUAUGGAAAUCCAUCACAUCCUAUAUGCAUAAAGAAAAUUUUAUAUAUUUAUAUAUCUGCACCCACUUUAGAAAUUAUUAACAUUAUGCAUUUCAUUAUGCUUUAAGUCCUCUGAAAGGUGCUCUUUCUCUACUUACACAACACAACACCUAC